UACGGGGGGAGCAAGCGUUGUUCGGAUUUACUGGGCGUAAAGGGCGCGUAGGCGGUCAGUGCAAGUCAGUUGUGAAAUCUCCGGGCUUAACUCGGAAAGGUCAACUGAUACUGCUCGACUAGAGUGCGGAAGGGGCAACUGGAAUUCUCGGUGUAGCGGUGAAAUGCGUAGAUAUCGAGAGGAACACCUGCGGCGAAGGCGGGUUGCUGGGCUGGACACUGACGCUGAUGCGCGAAAGCCAGGGGAGCGAACGGG
rnacentral:rRNA from 1 species